GCACAGUUCCCUUGUGGAGCCGCUAUCAUUAGUUUAACUGCCUUCUAAUACGUGGUAUGUAAACGAGUCAACAGCUACCCAAAGUCUGCAGGUCACUUGAAACAUCAAACUACCACAUUGUCAGCGUUUCAUGAUGAUGGAUAACUUUUGGCUUCGAGAAGCGUCGACGUGUUUAGUGCUGUUAACUCUUACCGGCGCUUUAUGGAAUCGUCCAUUCGUCAGAGGUGAAAAAUGCAGACCCAAUAUACAAGAGAAACCCGUGGUCGACAUAUCUUCAAGUCCAGAAAACAACAGUUUCCCCAUUGGUGCCUCCAUAAUCCUGACUUGCAAAGCGUGGCCAAGAGCGGUAGAUGUUCCACACAUAAGUAGAUGGGUCAAGUACAUCCGGUGGUACGGUCCACAGAGUAAUGAAGUUGAAGCUCAGUGCCAGCAACUUGAUAAAAAAAAUCGUGACGAAGAAUACAGCUGCCAAUUAGUGCUUACAAAUCUGACAGUUGACAAAUUUGGCAGCUACACUUGCCAAUCAGGCAAUGAUUACCAAAAUCACU